GUCGGGAUAGUCAACUAGUAGAGCAGAGGACUAAAAGUCCUCAUGUCACAAGUUCAAUUCUGGUUCCUGGCA
rfam:Citrus clementina cultivar Clemenules unplaced genomic scaffold scaffold_2, whole genome shotgun sequence.